rnacentral:misc_RNA from 1 species
AAGUCGUAACAAGGUUUCCGUAGGUGAACCUGCGGAAGGAUCAUUAAUGAAUUCUGAGUAGGCUCUGCCUCUCACCCUUCAUAUCCAUAAACACCUGUGCACAGUCGGACCCUUGAGUCUUUCGGGACUCCCGGUGUCUUGACGAUCUUAUCAAACAACAAUGUAACCAAUGUAAUCAUUAUUAUAACAUAAUAAAACUUUUAACAACGGAUCUCUUGGCUCUCGCAUCGAUGAAGAACGCAGCGAAAUGCGAUAAGUAAUGUGAAUUGCAGAAUUCAGUGAAUCAUCGAAUCUUUGAACGCACCUUGCACUCUUUGGUAUUCCGAAGAGUAUGCCUGUUUGAGUGUCAUGAUCUC